rnacentral:rRNA from 1 species
AGUUCGGAUUGCAGUCUGCAACUCGACUGCAUGAAGCUGGAAUCGCUAGUAAUCGCGAAUCAGAAUGUCGCGGUGAAUACGUUCCCGGGUCUUGUACACACCGCCCGUCACACCAUGGGAGUUGGAAGCGCCCGAAGUCUGUGACCUAACCGUAAGGGAGGAGCAGCCGAAGGUGAAGCCAGUGACUGGGGUGAAGUCGUAACAAGGUACC